CCACACCUCCACCCACCUCUACAUUUCCAUCACCUACCACCACCACACCUCCACCGAGACCUCCUUCAAACAUCACCAUCACUAUUCCACCUACAUCCACACCUCCUACUGGUUCCACCUCCAUCACUCUUCCUCCAUCACUAUCUCCUCCUGUUCUCUCUGUGUUGUCAUGUGUUGGAUCAGUCUGUGUUGUGGUUCUACUGGUGUUACUGGUUCUGCUGGGGAGACCAUGUGUUCACAGGAAACUUGAAGAAGAUCAAGAAGAAGCUGGAGAAGAUGAUAUCCUCACUCACGUCACUUACAGGUCAAAAGCAGAUCAUCAACAAGAGCCAGUUAGACAAGCCAAAGAAACUGAUACAACUGUGGUCUACCCAGCAGUGAGCGCUGGCAACGUCAGUUAUGGACAAACAACCAUCAGAACGAGGAGGAACAGAAAAGCUGACAUCUGAGGAGCUCCAACAAACUGCAGACGAAAAGCAUGAAGUUUACUUUGAAAUUUGAAUCAUACAGAUCUACUCUAGUAAAGUCCAAUAGUAAAAAUCCAGAGCUGGAAGUGAACACAAAACACAAGCUUCACAAUCUGAUAUAUCAGGUUCAACCAAAAAAUCCUGCACAGUGAAAACAAGUUAUAGUGCAUCAACUUUUAGUGGGUAGUGCUGUUUCUGACAAAAACAGGAAAUGGUGCAACAUGUAACUGUGACUCUCAUUAUAACCUUACAGGUGUACCAGACAGGCCAAAGUUGAUAUGAAGCCUACAGUAGUGCAGGGUCUAUUUUUGACUGAAGCUAUGAGAAACAGCAGUGUUUCUCUAACUUGAAACUCUAAAACUGUGCACAACAGCUCACCUAAAAAGUAAGAUGCCUGAGAUUGAAAGAAAAAGACAGAGCAGUGUUCCUGUUCCCUGAAUUAAAACAUAUUAGCUUCUCUGAGA